AUAAAGGCUGGCCAUCGCGGCCAGCUUCCCCGUUCGGGUCCCCUCCCACAUUGUGGGAGAUUUGUUCUUUCCCCUUUUGCAAUAAAUCUUGCUGCUGCUCACUUUUUAGGUCCACACUACCUUUAUGAGCUGUAACACUCAUGGUGAAGGUUUGCAGCUUCACUCCUGAAGCCAGCCAGACCAGGAACCCACCAUGAGAAACAAACAACUCUGGAGCCGCCAUAAGACUCACUGUGGCUUUAAGAGCUAUAAGACUCACUGUGAAGGUCUGCGGCUUCACCCCUGAAGUCAGCCAGACCACGAACCCACCGGGAGGAACAAACAACUCCGGACGCACCACCUUUAAGAGCUGUAACGCUCACUGCAAAGGUCUGCGGCUUCACUCAUGAAGUCGUGCAUAGACCACGAACCCAGUAGAAGGAAGAAACUCCUGACACAUCUGAACAUCUGAAGGAACAAACUCUGGACACACCGUCUUUAAGAAGUGUAACACUGCGAGGGUCCGCGGCUUCAUUCUUGAAGUCAGCGGCACCAGGAACCCAUUGGAGGGAACCAAUUCCGGACACACAGCCUCGUGGAAUGGUUCUGCACAGUGUGUGUGUGUUUCCCGUCAACCCUGUGCACACUAUUAAAAGAACACAAGCGCUAAGCCUCCCUCUCAGACCUACUGAAAUCGUUGAUGGAGUGGAGUCCUGGAUG
rnacentral:lncRNA from 1 species